ACAAGUAGUUUAGUAUGGCAGCAUCCACGAACCAACAAUAAAGUCAAGUGGCAAAGUCUCAGUGAAAAACCUUGACCUGUCACUGAAAGCCAUUGUCAACAUCUAAAUGUCAGAACACAACUUUUAAAAGGAUUUGAAACUAGAAUGCAUUAGGAGAAUCAGUACAACAUAGACAAUUUAUAAGGUUUUUCUACACUGAAAUUCGAGACCAUGCUGGCACAAGCAAAGGUACCAGAUAGGAAAAAUAUCCAGCCUCUUGUUAUUUUCAGUCCUAAAGAACAGCUACAGUUAACAAAAUACAUGUGGCCCAAUAAAGUGUGCAUUGAUUUAUAAUUAAAAUA